CAGCAGCACUACCUGCCGAGUCACUGUGGCACCUGCGUAUAAUUGGAAUGGAAAAACAAUGCUGUGUUUUAGUAUUUAAUAUUCUGUAAAGUACAUUGGUCGGUUUGGCAAGUUAACUUGUAAAAAUAAUGUUUAUUAGGUAUUCUGAAGUCGAUCUGAUAUAGAGUUUAAACUUUAAACUGAAUAUAUUAUAGUUUCAGGAGAACCUCCAACUAAGAUUCCUCAUUGUUUAACAGUUUGGAAAUUUUCCUACACCAAGCAACUUAAACAUUUAAACCUAAAUAAGUUUUGCUUCCUCUCCCUUUUCUACUAAAGAAGUGUUUCUGUAUCAAGUAGUGUCCUUUACCUUCAUAAUCAAUGGAUGGACCAGAAAGAACAUUUAUCUCACGGGAUAAUCAAUGCAAGAAAUACUGAGCAGGGCAGACAGCAGCAUCUGUUGAGGAAGAAACUGGGUUUAUUAUCAGACCUGUACGACAAGAAAACAAGUUAUUUUAGGCUGCAGUGAGCAGGAGAUGUUGAGAGAGGAUUGUGGAGACCAAUAUUGUACAGGUAAAUUAGUAUUUUUGGAAUUAGCCAGUUAAUAGAUGAAUACAGUAAGUGGAAUUAAUGAGACACAAUGAUAAAAUGAAAUGUUAUGCUGAAACUGUAAGGUGUUGUAUGCUGGAAACAUUGACCAUUUAUUAACUGGAAAUGUGAGGCAGAACAUGUCAGUGGUCAGAAAUCUGAAGCAAAAAAACCCCUCAACAACUCAAAGUAUCUGCAGAGAAAAACAAGAAUUGAUUUUGCAUCAAAACUACUGGUUUUGAUACAAACAGGAAAUUGUUCAAUUUAAUUUUGAAUCCCAAAGUCAGCAAAGUAAUCAAGGCAGCAGAAAAGGUGCAGUCCUUUUAUGUUGGUUAUGGUUGGAACUGUGUACAAGGCCAAGUACCAGGGAGAUCAGAGUGGGAAUAUGAUGGGAAAUUAAAAAGCCAGGUGAUUGGAAGCUUGAGAUCGACACCUUCCACACUGAAUGGAGAUGUUCUGCAAAAUAGUCACCCAGUUUUGAGAUUGGUUUCUCUGAUGCAGAGUAGAGUGCACCAUGAGCUCUGAAUGCAUUGCACAAGAUUGGAAGAAGAGCAAGUGAAUUGCUACCUCAUCUGGAAGAAUGGAUCCAUGCAUUGUCGAUGCUGUCUGACCUGCUGAGUGUUUGCAGCAAUUCCUGUUUAUGACAACACUGAACCGUUACCUUGUCCUGAUAGCAUUCCAGCAUCCCGUUUAUGAGCUUCAUCAUCACUAUUUCUCUCCAUCUCCUCCCACUGAUGUGCAAGUUUGUAGGAACCUUCACAAGAGCUGUAGGCACAGCAUUGUGUGCAUCCAGGGUCAAUGAAACAAUCUACAAACUUUGUAAUGUACAGGAAGACAAAUCAAGUAUUAAGUGUCAGAUCUGACUGAGAGCCAUUAAUUUUUACAAUGCAAUUUCAACAAUGAGUCAACACUUACAGUUUGAUUAAGGAUGGUGAAGAAAUAAAUGAUUCCGGAUGAAUAAAUGCAAUCUUGUUCCAGCUGAGGUCACUAAAUG